CAAAGCGCCGACAACGCUCAGCCUGCCUUUCCGGGCACUAAAACACGCGUCCAGCUUUGAGGCCGCUGCCGUUACAGCAGCCCUCGGCGCUCGCAGGCUAAUCCGCUACGCGGGACGUGUCCCCGGUCCAGCGCGAGGCUCGGGGCAGCAGCUUCGUCCGGCCUUGGGACGGGGAAUACAAGCAGCACCUUCCCGGACGCCGGCGUCUCCUUGCAGGGGAUGCUUUCUGGGUGCAUUGCCUGGUUUUAAUUCCGGAUGCGGGAGGGUAGGAAAACCAAGUGUCUCCUGUGCUCUCCCUAUAGAGCAGGCCUGCGUUUCCUCAAGUAACCUCAGAGCCCGCCUCGUGCCCACGCCAGCCCGAAUUCACGUUGCUUCAGUAGAGCCGCCAGGAUUGCUGCAGCCACGGCUCCAGCGGCGGUCUCCGGGGCCCGUGGGCAACGCAAGGCUCCCCGACCUCUGCGCCAACGUAGCCAAAUGGGGGGCGUUUUCCUUGGGAUACUUUUUUGUUUGUUUUGGCUUAAAACCCUGUCACUGCAACGCGGCUGUUGCAAUGCCUGACCCUUCUCCCACAGCGGAGGCCGAAGGGUUUCCUUCUCCCGCCCGUCCUAGCCUGCCGCCUUCCCAGUGAUGCAAGCGCAGACGCGCGUCCGGCCCCUCGAGAGCGUCCGCGACGCCCGCCCGCCCGCCGCAAGGAUCCUCCUGACCUCUUUCAGCUAAUGAAAAAAAAAAAAAAUCAGCUGCCACGA